GUGGAUUAGAUACCCUGGUAGUCCACGCCCUAAACGAUGUCUACUAGUUGUUGGUGGAGUAAAAUCCAUGAGUAACGCAGCUAACGCGUGAAGUAGACCGCCUGGGGAGUACGGUCGCAAGAUUAAAACUCAAAUGAAUUGACGGGGGCCCGCACAAGCGGUGGAUUAUGUGGAUUAAUUCGAUGCAACGCGAAAAACCUUACCUGGCCUUGACAUGUACGGAACUUUCCAGAGAUGGAUUGGUGCCCGAAAGGGAACCGUAACACAGGUGCUGCAUGGUCGUCGUCAACU
rnacentral:rRNA from 1 species